CCGGAAGUUCCCCUUAGUGGGUGGGGGAAGCUGGUAGGCACGGGCGGCUCCGCAGUGACCGGACUCGGGGGAGGCGAGUGAUUUGCCUAAGUAAAAGGGAAAGACAACUGAGCGCCCCCGGCGGCGGGUCUACGCAUGCGUCCGCUGGGCCGGCUGGGAGCCGGCAAGGGCAAGCCGAGCGGGCCCCACUGAGCGAAAGGGGUCAGUCACUUCCCGGAAGAGGCGGGGCCGCGCGGGCCCGGCGCCGGAUUCGAAACGCUUCCUGGUGAUCCUGGGCCUGGCGGCUGAGCCCGGGGCGCUAGUCUUUGCUUGGGUAAAGAAACAGGACUUUCCUUUUUUUUUUCCUUUUGAGAAAAUUCAGAAAUUUGGAGGCACAGUAGUUAGGAUUCAGGCCAAACUGGUAAAUGACGAAGGGGCUUCUUCCAGAGCCAAGGAGGAAGGGUUGUCCGGGUAAGUCCCGCGGAACGUGGAGAGACCGCGCCGCCCGGGUCCUCCCACUGGUUCCUUUGAUCAUCUGGCUUAGGGACGAGCUCUUUGUUCGCUGCUCCUCCGAAAACGCCUUCAAUGACUCCCUUUGAAUAAAGUAGGAAGUCCGAACCGAGCCGCCAGGCCGCGACCUGGCCCCUGUUUUCCACUCGCGAGGGCCCUGCGUUACCCCGCCCCGGGAAAGCUGCGCGUUCUCCGGCCGCUCGCGCUUGGCCGAAGCUGCUGGGUCCCGUUGUACUUCCCCCGGGCAUGCGAUGGGGAUAAUUCCCACGCCUCGCUCAAAGCUAUCCCGGGCGAGCCCUCCCUGGUCCCCAUAGGCACAGUUGGGUGUUCCCUUUUCCGUGUUAACCUUGUAUUUCGGAUAUAGUUCUGUUAUAGUAAUUACUUUUAAGAGAUUGUAGUUGUUUAUUUACAAUCGGUCCUUCCCCCACGGUAACCUAGAGUGUAAACCCCCUAAAUAAACGUCAGAAGUAAUGAAGUCUUACUUCCUUGGCUUAGGUUUCAGCGCCCUUCUCAACCCCACACUACCCCUUCAGUCUUUACACAAACCCUUCCCAUGAAUAUGCUGACCUAGCAAGUAACCUACUUUUCAUACUCCAAAAUCUUCUCUUCUGUGUGGGGAAAAUAAUGCAUUGACUGCCACCUCACCCCACCUCCAAAUAAAUUGAUGUUGAAAUUCUGGCCUCCAGUAAUGGAAUUCUUUACAUCAAAGUCACUUUUUAUUUCUAAAAGUAAUCCCAUAUAUAUUAUAUUCCUACUGUGGCCCUUGCCAUGGAUCAACAAAAAAUAUGACAUAGUCAAAAUAGACCAAAACAUGUGGCCUUGUUGUAACCAAUGGGAAACACAGUUGGGAGGUCCCUACUUACAUGUCACUUGCUUCAGGAACCGUUCCUUGAUUCCUAAGUGGGGGACCUUUUUUCCUGAAUACAACUAUAGCUUGCUUUCUUACCUCUUAAGCCCUUUUUAUCUGCAGUCUCACCCUACUAAGGUCUUUAAAUGCAGAGCUUGAUCUUCUUCCAUUAUUGUAUCUCCAGCACCUAUAAAGCAUUCCUGUUAAAUAGUAGACAUUUAGUGAGUAUUUAUUGAUAGGCGUGAAUUAUGUCUCAACGUUUAGGCUAAAUUCAUAUGAAAGUAAAAUUGAAAAAAUAAUUUUAAAGAACAGCAUUAGUUACUGAGAUUAUGUGGUAAAUCCCUUAAAAUAUAAUCUUGCAUUGAAAUAGUUUUCACCGUUUACCAAUCUUUAUAUGAAUAUAUACUCAUCUAAAUGGAAAUUGGGAAAUUUAAGCAUUUUCUGCUUUUCCAAAGUAAAUAUUCUAAUGUUUUUCUUAAAGCUGAACUAAAUUGCAAAACUUGCUUUAAUAAAGUGUGUGUUUUUGCAUCA
rnacentral:sRNA from 1 species